rnacentral:rRNA from 1 species
GAUGAACGCUAGCUACAGGCUUAACACAUGCAAGUCGAGGGGCAGCAUCAUCAAAGCUUGCUUUGAUGGAUGGCGACCGGCGCACGGGUGAGUAACACGUAUCCAACCUGCCGACAACACUGGGAUAGCCUUUCGAAAGAAAGAUUAAUACCGGAUGGCAUAGUUUGAUAUUGAAAGCUCCGGCGGAUAUAGAUGGGCACGCGCAAGAUUAGCUAGUUGGUGAGGUAACGGCUCACCAAGGCGAUGAUCUUUAGGGGGCCUGAGAGGGUGAUCCCCCANACUGGUACUGAGACACGGACCAGACUCCUACGGGAGGCAGCAGUGAGGAAUAUGGUCAAUGGGUGCAAGCCUGAACCAGCCAUCCCGCGUGAAAGGACGACUUGCCCCUAUGGGGUUGUAAAACUUCUUUUGUAUAGGGAUAAACCUUUCC